GAAAAGAACUUUGAAGAAAGAGUUCAAGAGAACGUGAAACUGCCACGAGGUUAAAGCGGAUGUACAUACGUAGCCGAACGGGGGGUCUCAUCUCCUCGAGCCUCCAGGCGCGGUCGCGCUCGGACCGUCGGCGUACGGGUUCCUCGCGGGCCCGGCUCCGUCGAAGGCCGUCGCGGCUUCGGACUCGGAGGACAGGGGGGUGGAUUUCCCUCCUUAGUAGGCAGUCGCGGCCGCUCGAGGGUUGUCUAAGGCUCGGAAGUCGGGAACCGUCCGGCGACUCAAAUCGCCGGCGGGGACGCUACCUUGAUUCUGGCGGACUCUCGGGCGGCGCCACCGAAGACGGGAACAACAUAAACGGUCUGGAUAACGGAAAGGCCGUCCCGUACGCGGCUGUAAUUGCGAUCGUUCAUCCGUCCCGUCUUGAAACACGGACCAAGGAGUCUAACAUGUGCGCGAGUCAAAGGGUUGGCUAAACCCCGAGGCGCAACGAAAGUAAAAAAAAGUUCCCGAACCCUUCGCGGGGCUUAGGGGGCUCGUUGGGUCGAUCCGCGCUCCCUUCCGUGGACCGGCGCAGACCCGGGGCUCGCCGCUACCCCUUCGUUCCUCCCCUCGCGGGACGGUUCGUGGCGGGUGGCGGGCACCUAGAGCGUACAUGCUAGUACCCGAAAGAUGGUGAUCUAUGCUUGGCCAGGAUGAAGCCAGAGGAAACUCUGGUGGAGGUCCGUAGCGAUUCUGACGUGCAAAUCGAUCGUCAGAGCUGGGUAUAGGGCGAAAGACCA
rnacentral:rRNA from 1 species